rnacentral:rRNA from 1 species
AAGUCGUAACAAGGUUUCCGUAGGUGAACCUGCGGAAGGAUCAUUAAUGAGAAACUGCCCCUCGCGGGUAGAUCUCCCACCCUUUGUAAACUUACCUUUGUUGCUUUGGCAGGCCCGUCUCCGGACCGCCGGCUUCGGCUGGCCAGCGCCUGCCAGAGGAUUCUAAAACUCUGUCUGUCAGUGUUGUCUGAGUCUAUAUACAAUCGUUAAAACUUUCAACAACGGAUCUCUUGGUUCUGGCAUCGAUGAGGAACGCAGCGAAAUGCGAUAAGUAAUGUGAAUUGCAGAAUUCAGUGAAUCAUCGAAUCUUUGAACGCACAUUGCGCCCGCCAGUAUUCUGGCGGGCAUGCCUGUUCGAGCGUCAUUUCAACCAUCAAGCCCUGCUUGUGUUGGGGUCCUGCGGCUGCCCGCAGGCCCUGAAAACCAGUGGCGGGCUCGCCUACACUCCGAGCGCAGUAAUACAUCUCGCUCUGGUCGUGAGGCGGGUUCCGGCCGUUAAACACCCCCCUUUUGCAAGGUUGACCUCGGAUCAGGUAGGAAUACCCGCUGAACUUAA